GACGAACGCUGGCGGCGCGCCUAACACAUGCAAGUCGAACGAGCGAGAGAGAGCUUGCUUUCUCAAGCGAGUGGCGAACGGGUGAGUAACGCGUGAGGAACCUGCCUCAAAGAGGGGGACAACAGUUGGAAACGACUGCUAAUACCGCAUAAGCCCACAGGUCGGCAUCGACCAGAGGGAAAAGGAGCAAUCCGCUUUGAGAUGGCCUCGCGUCCGAUUAGCUAGUUGGUGAGGUAACGGCCCACCAAGGCAACGAUCGGUAGCCGGACUGAGAGGUUGAACGGCCACAAUGGGACUGAGACACGGCCCAGACUCCUACGGGAAGCAGCAGUGGGGAAUAUUGCACAAUGGGGGAAACCCUGAUGCAGCGACGCCGCGUAGAGGAAGAAGGUCUUCGGAUUGUAAACUCCUGUUGUUGAGGAAGAUAAUGACGGUACUCAACAAGGAAGUGACGGCUAACUACGUG
rnacentral:rRNA from 1 species